GCGUAGCGCGGCCAUGGCGGCGGGCCAGGAGGGGUCCGGCCGCCCGCGGGGCUUUAUAGCCGGGAGGGGACCGGCGGGGGCGGGGGUGCCGAAGGGAGGCGGCCCCGGCCCGGGGGGUCCGGCGUGAAGCGGGGGCCGAAGCUCCCUCAGUGCCACGGGGUCGGUACCUCAGGCAGGUACCUGGGCAUACCGCCGGGUCGCUUGUGGUACCGCGUCUGGGCGGCACCGCUGUGGUGUUUGCGUCCUUUCAGUGAGAUCUGUGCUGUCAUCUGUGUGAGCUGCAGGUGAAACGCACCUGGAGAGCCCCAGAGCUCAGCUUGCAGCGGGCAGAGCCGGGCGAUGCCACCACCACCUUUCCCACCCGUGUGCCUGCGAGUAGCCAUUCCUGGCUGCAGCACGGCCGCCAUCGCGGCGUGAGACAUACAGACUGCCCUCAGCGAGCUGCGUGAGAUGCUGCUCCCUCUGAAGGAGCAGCGUUCUGAGCAUCAGCUCUGAAAGAGCUUUUAUUCAUAAGGCAUUUGUACCUUUGUGCUUUCGCAUGUGCAGAUGAUGAUCAGUUGCUCUCAGUAACAUAGGCUUUCUCCUACCAUCUCUUCCCAUAAUGCGAACAACCUCCCACCAGAUCCCACAGAGCUUCACCCCAGCACCGGUGAGCAUCACGGGGUGCCUGCAUCUGCCCUGAGCUGUGCUGGCACCCUGUCCUUACUUCGUCCUGCCUGGGUACAAAGGAGGAUCCUACCUCUCCACUUGAAAUACAGAAUCUGUACUAUCAGUCCAGAAGUGAAUCACUUUUUUGAAUUAAUGCGUCUAAAAUUGAGAUAGCUAUUUCUAAAUACAGGAUGCAGCAACAAAAACAGGUGGAGAGCGUGCUGCCAUGUCAUUGCUGCCAUCAGCAGGCACCUAGCACAGUAAGGAGGGCUCUGAAACACUGCAGCUUUGAAGAGGCUGGAAGAAGUGGCCUACAUUUGCUGGCCUGCUCUGUUUCCAGGCUGCUCAGAGUCUCCAAUUGCUGUGGGUCACAGAAUCAUCUUUUAACCACGCACACUGAGAUCCCUCCUUACUGACUGUUGGAGCUGAGGUUUGGGCAGAGUCCUGGAACGCCUGCAGGCGUAAGCAGCAGUAUGGCAUUUGGUCAUAUAAAUAUGCUCUCCUUGGGAUACCGAGCACUUGUAGCAGUGUUGCUGCUCUGCCCGAAGGGGAUGAGACACAGCAGCUUUUGCCAUGCAGUGGUUUGUCAGUCACCAGGGUACACGUCCUGUGUGUGAACCCCUCUUGCUUUUUGCUCUUUCAUUUGGUUUGUGCUGGGGUUCUGCAGGCAGGGCACUCCGGUAUGGUCAUUUUUUGUUCUACCAAGUGUAUGAUAUGGGUGGGGGAUGUCCUUAAUGUGAAUUUUCUCAUUGCUAAAAACAAUGUUGAACCUUUUAAUAACACAAAUUUAAGUCUCUCUCAUCUACUUGAGUGUUUUCACAAAUCUCGGUGUCUUGGAGAUCCCAGUGUACGUGUUAUCUUUAAUGGAAGGUGGCCAGCAGCUUCAGAAGGUGACGAGAGAAGUAGCAGUGGUCAUACACCCGAUUUCAUCUCCUUAGAGAAAUGUUAAGAAAAAACAAAACCAUAUUUUUGCUGUAAAAGCUAAAAUUUAAGCUAUACUGAAGAAGCAGUGCCUGUAUAACUGAUAUUAGUUUGUCAAAAAAAAAAAAAAAGAAAAAAGAGGAAGAAGGAAAUGAAUUGUAGACUGGAGACAUUUUUAUGGGCGUGUAAGUGUGUUCGCUCCAGCAUUUCUUCUGGCACGACAGUGCCACGUAAUUCCCAGCUUCCCUAUCAGGCCCCGAUACCAACAACCAUUGCUGCACACCAGGCUCAGGUUUUGAGGCUUUUUUCUUUCUGCCUAAGAGGAAAUCUUUAGAAUGAAUGCAUAAUUUCAUCCCUAAUUGCUCCUAGUUACUGUGUAACUCCUCUGACAAAGCUCUUUACAACCUCCAAAAGCUUUUAGAGGUUUUUCAGGUUUUCCCAAUGCAUACACACCAAUAUCUAUGUAUUUUUAGACGCAUCCGUGACUUUAAGUUGCUCUCACCAUGAUCUCAUGUUGAUCAUUUAUGGCUGUCCUUUAGCAGUGUUGGCGUUUCCAGCUCUCAGGCUGCAAAGAGGAAGAGCUCAAGGGAGUGAGCUGCACCUUUUCCUCUCUCUGAGUCUGUUUCCAGAUGUGUGGAACUGUAUUCCUGAGACCUCUGAGCUGUCAGUCAUGGGUCUUCAGCUGUGGCCCUGAGAGCUGAGGUCUUCUGGUCACCGUGGGACUCCGCACAUCAUCCUCACACAUCAUCCUCUGCUCCAAGGGUGUCCAAGAGCAGUCAGACCUUGCUGACACCAGACCUGUGUAGGACAUGUUCAUACAGCUGUGCAGUGCCAUAAGGAUUCCAGGUCACCAGGGGAGUUGAUAAGAGCUGCAGACGUACAGCAGGCCUGGAAGAAAGCAGUGGGAAAGGCACAAAGACCUCACAAAUGCAUAUGAAAGGAUCAAGGGUCUGCAUGUGCCAAAUCCCAACAGGAACAGAUUUGAGGUGAGAUGCCUGAGUUCAGAGGGAACUCAUACACAGCAAAGGGACAAAAGCAGAGUAUGUCUGACUGCUGGCAGCUGGCUCCCUACCUUAUGAGUGAGGAAGGUCAAGGAUUUGAGAGAGGGAAGGAGAUAAAAGCAAAUGGCAGAGAUGGUGUCAGGAAUGGGAAAAGGAGAAGGCAGAGGGGACCGUGCUACUUGGAGGCAGACAGCCUGGUUGGAAGGCACCUGGGUAUUUAGGGGUGAAUUAAGACACUGUGAAACCUGAGCCUGUCUUUGAGUCAUCCUGAGAUAUCCUGAGAAUGGCAAGAUGCACACACCUGGCAGUCACGGUGCUUCAGAAGUGAGAGGUCAGUCUCAAAGAUUGUUUUGGCAGCAAGCCUUAGGCUGAAGGAAAUCCUGCUGAUGCUUAUUUUCUCUGUGCCCUCUCUAGUUUUGUAGUGUGAUGCUGUGGAAGACCCUAAAGCUUGUAUUUAACUGACUUCUUCCUGUUGCCUGCUCAUUCAUGUGCUCUGAAAGAGGUUUGUAGAAUAGUCACGCUCUAUUCUUACAGGUAUAUUCCUUUAAAGAAGGGUUUUUUUUUUUAACAUUUGUUGAUAUGUAUAUUUGUACAUAUAAAAUUCUUGGGCUACCCGAACUUCCAGUGAUGCUUAGUUAAUUCACAGCACAAACAAAGGAGAAUCUCUGUCUCUGCAGAUGAAUAACAAGAGGAAAGGGAGAUGAGAAGGGGAGUGUUAAGUUAAAAAACAGAGCCCUGUUUUUCUCCUCCUUGUGCUGCAACUCCACUCUUUACCUGGAGCCUCUCUGCAGGGUGCAGUCGGAAUGUGCAAACCCAGCAAGGCUGGCAGGAAGUGCAGGGUGAUAUGUAGCACAGGGGCUACAUCUUCUGUCACAACAUUGAAUAAUUAACAGGCUCUGAAGAGUCCACUAUCUGCUGCUUGUAGACUUCCUUGUCUUAGCAAGCAGUGUUAAGGCAUUGUUUUCUAACACUGUUUGGCAGGCUCCUAAGCCCUCUUCAUUCCAUACAUGAUGAAGUCCUUCUUCUACCUAUCCCAGCUUAACAAAUGACAAUCACAAGAUUUUCUGGUUUUGCCUUACAGUGUUUGGUAUCUGUCUUAGUGCCUCCAGCUUCUGAAAUCAAUAGAUUUUAUGAGAAUCUCAAUUUUAUCUUCUUUUUGUUCUUAUUGUUUUAAAGCUAAUGUAUUGUAGUUAUGGAGAGAAAAACCCAAAUAUGAAGCAAGCUGUCUUCUAAUAGUCCAUAACCAGAAAGCAAUGGGAAGCACCAGCGCUCUCCUGGGAAGGUUGGAUGCCCAUUACAAGGUUAACACAGAGCCACCAGCCUUCCCCUGGCUGCUCUGUUUGGUUACACCACACAAGUCUUUCUUCUCUGAGUGGUACUGACUGCAGAUUUCUUCAGCCCUGCUCUUCCCUUCUGCAGCUGAAGCAUGUGUACAUGUUGCGUGCCAAGGUUGACGCUCGGGCUUGGUUCUUAUCAUUCAGACUACAUGUUUCCUAUCUUCUUUUCUGGUUGGUUUUAGAGACAAGGGACUGAUGGUCUCUUUUCUCGGCACUUGCAAAAAAGUUGUUUUGUUUUUCCCAGGCAUUUUUUUUUCUGGGGGGUUUUAUUUCAGGCCCCUGUACAGUUGGGAAGAUUUCCAGCUUUAAGAUGUAGGUGGAACGAGGGAAGUUCCACCCGAGCUGAGGAUUUGUGGCUGAUGAUUAAUUAAAUUGGCAGUUUCUGAUGUUCAGAACUGGGGUGUGCAGCAGUUACUAUGCCAUUUGAUGAAGUGAUUCUCUUCCAUGCAUUAACUGACUCACAUUACUUUGCUAUUUAAAACUGCACUGAAGAAAAGCAAAAGAAAGAUAAUUCUAUGUAACAAAGCUAGUAGGCAUUAUUUCUGUGGCUUAUCCUGAUUUUUAUAAGCAUGAUUAUAGGCAUGAUUUUCUGGUGUCUGACUCACGCUGCAGCUCCAUGUGCUUGCAUAGGAAAGGAUCUCUUUUCUCCUCUCCAGCUGUUCUCCUUGCCCAUGUCAGCAGCCCAGUACCACCUCAAGGGCUGCCUCACUCCUCACUGCAAGCAGGUUGCUUCCUCCUAGGCACUGUUCCUGCCCUCGUCCUGCCCAGUGCCCCUGUUUGCCCAGACCUGCACAAGGCCUCAUAUUCUUUCUCCUGUACUUCAUACAACAGCUGUUAUUCCCUAUUAUUCAAGCUGAGCUCCUGUGCCUUAUUUUCUGGCGGCUAUAUUGUUCCAUUUGACUUUGGCCCCAUUUGUCAAGGGCGCAUCGCUGUCACUUCUUUAGUCUGACCCUCUCCUUUGUUGUCAAGAGGUCUUCCUCUUUUCACUGGUAGCUUUAUCUCUUUCUCUGUUAUCUUCUAGUCCUGGAGACUCUUUCCCCACUCAUUUAUCCAAGCUUGUCUUAUCAGUACUGGGGGAUUUAAGACUUUUCUCCUUGACAGCUUUUCUUCCCCGCUCCCUGGAGGUUUCUCCAUGCCACUGGGCACAGGCCAAAGAGCAAAUGCAUUUCUUAUUCAAAAUGAGAUAACUGCAGCCAUGCCCUGUUUGCAAUUCCUCCAUGAUUAUCACCACCCUUUGGCCUGGCCAUCCAUGCCUGAAGUGUGAACACCAAGUCCUUAUGACAGUGACUGGAAACUGCAAAAGUGGGCACAAUAUCACAUCAGUCGCAAUAUCACAUCAGUCGCAACAUCGCCUGGAUGUCUGAAAUAUCACGUAUGUCUUGGCCAGUGACAGCAUGGCAGCAUUAAUGGUCUUCUGGCACUUUGAAAGUGCUGUCUUCCUUGCACAUCUCGCCAGUAUGAAAAAAAGCUGGGAAAUUCAAAGGGGAGAAGAUAAAGAGAGAAGUUUCUCUCAGUUGAACUGUCCUUUCUCCUUGUUUUGUAUCCCCUACCAGAUAAUGCAGCAGAAGUCCCAGCACAUACAGUUCUGGGGAAACAGGGAGCCUGCUGACUGUGAAUGUUGUGGCAUUCACUGAGGACCACUCCUCCCUGCCUAAAGAGCUUGACUUUGCUUCUCUUCAGACUAAUGGUCAUCUUUCCACUGUCUGCACAGAGCAGGCUUCUGCUUGAUAGUUGAAGAUAAAUUCUUGCUUGUGCUGCUGUUGCUGAAGGAAAUGUGCAUGGUGUGCCAGCAGAAGCACAUAGGAUUGUUCCCAGGAGAUCCUUGUUCCAGAACAGGACUGGUGCCUGCUUCCUGCUGCCCAGGCCUCCCUCUAAUCCUGUUUGCAAGGUGUGCAGCAGUGCAACUUCAUCAGAUUCCUUUGGUUAGUCAAAAUGGAAGAGCUGGUUUCAGAUUAGAAUUUUAUUUAGGACCAUGUAAAUGGUAUGCAGAAGGAGCUGCAGAAGAUGAGCACGCUGCAGAUCUAUCUGACCUCCUUUCUUAGUUGGUGUUUCUGAGGGUCAGCUCUCAACUCUUGCCAGUGUCUUCAGCAGAUACAAAACCAUGGACCACAUCACACGGUAGGAAAGACUGAAUUUCCUUCCCAAGAAAAGGAGAAGGCCUCCUGCGAAGCAUGGUGAAGGCACACCUGGAGGGCAGCGCUGCUGGCAUGGUGGGGUCACUGUAGGGCAGCACUCUCAGCUGCCCUGCACAACAUACAGCCAGGCCAGGAGAGCAGGCAGUGCAUGCCUUGGCAAGGAGAUGGUGUGACACUCUGGGCCAGAUCCCUUCCUGUAGCGCUAGGUGGGAGCACAGCAUAAGCAGGGCAGCAACGACAUUGGUAUGAGGCUGGAGUGGACUUUUGUGUUGCACAGUGUCAUAUGCUCAGGCAGAAAUUCAUUUGACCUUUUUUGGAAGGAGGAAGGCAGUGCUGAUCAUUCUUGGCCACUGUGCUGAAUACGUGCUAGUUCAUUUGGUGAUGGUGACGAUGAGUUUCCCAGCACAGAGGAGGCUUGUGUGCAUGCAGCUUUCUCUUAAGGUCAGAUUGUGCCAUAACACCCCUGAGACAGUAAACAGUGACAGACUGUGAAAGAUGCUGUACUCAUAACUUACCCAGGAUGUUUUUGGCGUGCCAUAUAACCAGUGCCAAGGAAAGGUUUUCAGACUGUGGUGAUGCACUGUCUCCUCAUAUUUUAAGUGAACGUAACUUCUUGUUGUGAUGGCAAAUCCCUACAAGAUGAAAAGGGCAGUUCAGGGGAAAAGUGAGAUGCUGACAUGUUCCCAUGACGGAAAUCUCAGAAGAAAACAGAUGAAAACCAAACAUUCCUUGGUCACAGAACCCAAGGAGAGGUGCAGUGUGCAUCAAACCAUGAAAGCUACUUCAGGAAACCCAGGCCAUUCAUAUGGAGUAUGUACAAUAAGGUAGAAAUCUUUUCCAACCCUAGUGAUUAUAAAAUCAUCAAGUCCAGCUGUCAAGGCAUCACCACAACCUUAUAUUAAUCUUGGACACAUACACACACAGAAUGGAUUUAGGACUUCUGGUGGCCAAACCCCAUACAAUGGAUAGCGGUGAAUCUGCUGUACUAAAACUAUUUAUUUGGCUGAGUUUCAGCCACCACUGUGACAUUAUCCCCAUUGCCCUUGAGUUCUGUCUGAGCCUCCCCUAAACCCAGCUUCAUUAUUUUCUUACUAGUGAGUGGCCUGCUGGUGGAAAGCACUCUCCUGAAAGCUCUGAAAGCUCAUGCACUCAGGCUCAUGAGGGAGGUCUGGAGUGGGAUACUCCUCGCCAAUGAGUUGUAUUGCACAGUUGCUUUUACCCACUUCUAGCAGCAUUGCAGUGACACCAGUGUAAAAGCAGCAACUGUGAUUUUAGAGGUUGCACUCUCUUGCUUUUCUCCAGAGGUGGUUGGCCUUCCUGGGGAAGCCUUUCCUAACGGGUGCAGGGAAAAGCAGCAACCAUAUCCCCAUACUUUUCCUGCCUUUCUGGCAUUGCGCCGCCUCCUGUGACCCUCUCUCCUCCCAGCGAUGCAUGGCUUUAAGGCUGCAUAGGCUGGGUGAAUUAUAUUUUAGAGUGAGACUCUAUUUAGCUGUGAUGUCAACUGCAGCCAACUAUAAAAAGAUCAGUAAUGCUCUUUGAAAGUGUAACAGCUGCUGCUCUACACCCUCUCUGCUGUAUUAUCAGUCUGCCCUAUUUCAUGUGCACACAGCCAAAAUAAAAUAUUGUAGCAAUCAUCUCAUUAUAUAGCUCAAGGAAUGUGGGGUGCAAACUCCCUAGAAGCCUGGAGGAACUCGAGGUGAGCCAAACUGGGCAAUUUUACAGUGCUUGUUAACAAAAAGGUAAUUUUAUCUGGGUUUGCAAUAUAGCCUGCCUUUUCCUUAGCACUUGACUGCGUGCCAUUAGCAAUUCCAGCACAGUAACAGCAGACCUGCAAAGCUUUGCUUUGGGCACUUUUGCUGGAUGUUACUCACAUACAGUUGUAAACUGAGCUCGCCUGGACUGCGUGGAGUGAGUCCAGCAGUAUUUUACCUGGCAUAUGAAGCACAUCUUUGUCCUUAGCUGGGUGUGACCACAUGUUUGAAACCGCAUUCAGGGUUCCCCUUGAAUCAGAAUCAGAAAAUGAGUUCUGUUUAUCCAGAGCGAGCAGACAGCAAGUAAUGAAUGUGGAAUUGUGCUAGCGAAAUACACUGCGGCAGUACUGGAAAUGGGCUCUUGGCUGGGCCCCUGAAUAAGGACACUGCCAUGAUACAUUUUCCUACUCGUUUUUCUGCAAGCUUCACUCCUGGGGACGAAGUGUUUCUUAUAAAUAAUGUUCAAGAAGUGUGCUAUGUGCAAUAUAGCAUAUGCAAUAUAGCAUAUUGCUAGAGGCAAUAUGAGAAGUAGAGCAUCGUUGUGUGGCUUGGUCAGCUGUGGGAGGCUGAGUGCGCAUUGGCACAGACAGCAAAGUGCCGCCUUCAGCCUGAUGGAAAGCUCCAAGCCUCCUCAACUCCAGGUCCCUUCCUUGGUGGGACAAACCAAUGCAAAAAGGCUGCCCUGUUGUACGUGGGUGGGUCGGUUGUGUUUGUUUUGUAGUGCAGAUAGGGCCUUUGUAGUGGGGAUGGAGAAUGGCCUGUUUGUAAGUGACACGCAAAGUCCUUUGACACGGGUCUGAAGUGGCAGUGAGCUCACUUGUCUGAGAGGAAAUGGUCGGCUUCCAACGCGGCCGUUACCAAAGGUGACAGGACAGUUAGGCAAUGUGAGGAGUGAUUUUGCAUCAGACAAAGCCUGUGGCUGGAACUGAGCACACCAUGGCACAAGCUCGCCUGUGUCUGAGCCCUGCCUGAGCUCACUGAGCCUUGGCAACCAGCUCCCGUGCAGGGACAUUGCAGAGGCACCCAGAAAUGAAAGCAAGUGGCCUGAAGGCACACAGAAAGCUCGUGAGCAAGCCAAGGAGCAGCCUCAAUGCCGGCUUCCUGGCUCUGUUGAAAAUCCUUGGGGAGGCUCCCCGGCUUUCACUCACUUCCCACUGUUUGCAGGUGUGAGCAAUGUCUGGCAGCUCCGGUCUCACUUACGUGCAGGCUGGAGAAAAACAGACCCACCCCAGCUGUUUUCCGGCAGCGGUGCCACAUAACAACCCUGUGGCUUAAUGAGCCCAGCAGAGGCUGCUGGGAGCAGGGUCCUGUCAUCUGGGGUUUGCUUCUACUUCAUGAUCCCAGAGGCACAAGCGGAAGGCAGCACAGCGAGGCACUGCCGUCACUUGAUUGCUUUGCCCUGGAAACUGCUCAACCAAAACGAUCUCUGGUUCUUUCUCAGCUCACUGCAACCAGAUGUACUUCUCACACAAGUACAGAGAUGGUAAAAGAUUGUAUAUUUUUGAUGAUCAGCAGUUCGUGUCGCAAGCUCAUUCAAGAAUCAGAACUGAGAUAAGUUCCUAGAGACCACUAGGUCCAAACUGAAGGCACAAAGCGCAGCAGUGAACCCAGUGGGGCUCAGCACCCAACAUCACAGUCCAGGAAAUGAAUUCCCUCAAGGAAUAGCUGUGAGUGCAAAAAUUAGCGGAAUGAGGAGCAGAGAGAACUUGUUUCUUGUAUGUGAAAAUAUCCAUGCAAACACACACUGCACGGUUGCUUGAAUAAACUUACACUGAAGAAGGCUGACGUGUCAGCAGAGCUGAAUUUACAUGCUACAGCGUGUAGCAAUAUGCUGUCAGGUUAAGAAGUGGCACAUCCUUGUGCCCAGUCAUGGGUACAUAAUGGUAUCACAGGGGGAGCUGAGUUGCUGUGGAAUUUGAGGUCGUGGGUUUGUAAUGGCAUCUAGAAAUCAGGAUACUGGAAAUCCUCGAGCAUUCAAUAACUCCCCAACCAGAGCCUUCAUUUAUCCUUUAACGCUCCACAGAUUAAGACUUGUCUAUAUCCAUUGGUAGCUGAGAAUUCAUUUUGUUAGAUACCGAGCAGUCUCCAGUCUAAAUAGGGAUGCCUGAGACUUUCUGAAAAGCUCUUGUCUACCUUUUUCUGAGGCUGUGCAACAGGUAAGUGGCUGCUGCAUCUCCAAAAUUGAAACCAGUAAGUUGCUGGCGGGGAGCUCGUCUGUUCAAAGAGGAGAAAAUGAUGCGUAGUCCUACUCUGGUGCCAGGAUGAAGCUGUCUGUCUCAUGCAAUAGCCACAGAAAUCGUAGGCUCCUGCUAACCUGAUCCUAUGGCUGUGGUUUUCCACAGUGACUGCUUUCUGUAAUCCUUUCACUGCUUCUUUGCAGAGACUUGGAGCUUCACGGCGUCAAAGGGAAUUGCUGAACUAACUGCUGCCAAUGCGUUAGGUUAGAGCUUGCAGUGGGCCACUGGGAAAAAUAAGUUUUCUCUGAAAGCAGAUGUUCUCCUAAUAAUGUGUUUUACAAAUUUCAGGGGGGAAAAGCUCCUUCAAAAAUAAUAAUAAUAAUAAUAAUUGAAAACUUGGAUCAUUUUGCAAUUAGUGUGUUGCUAAAACUGACCUGUUUUCUUGUGGCUAGAGACAUUUUCCUUUUGGCCCUCAAGUACCUUCCAGUCAGCCUGAUGGAUGUUUUUCUCCCAUCUCUAAAGAGACUGUUGAGAAGAUCAAAAUGAUUGGAUUUUUUGUAGCACAUUGAGUUACUUGCCUUUACGUAUACGGUAUUAUUUUUGUCAAACCGGUCAUGUUCAACACUUAUUUAGUUGUGUGGAACUUGGGAGUCCUAAUCAGGACCAGCACCUCACUUUUGUGAUCAGAACAGUCUGGGGACUGGGGCUGGACUUGAUGGUCCUCGUGGUUCCCUUCCAACUCGGGAUAUCCUAUGACUCUAUGAUUAUUCAAUUUAGGUGAUCAACAAUGCGAUAACUACAUUUCACACACACAAAGACACGAGGGGUCAUAAUGAAUGCCCAGUGACCUGAAUGGGGCAUUUCACACCACAGGUUCAACCAGCAAAGAUUGCUACUGCCCUCUUUUUGAAUAGAGAAGCUUAGCAAGACCUGGCUGCCUGUCCUUGCUAGCAGGGUGCUGGGAGGUGCUGGACACACAGCUGCUAAUGCUUGGCAAUCCAUCUGGCAAAGGAUUUUCUUAUCCAGGUUUGAUCUGGAAAGACGUUUCAGUGUCUGUUGAGAAUCUCAGAGCCUGUCCUUUAACUGGGAAAUAUAACAGUAUUUCAUUAUACGUCUUGUAUAUAUGCGAGUAUGUUUUGUUCUCUGUGUUUUGCUGUUAUAUAAAGGCUACUCAGUGAUUACAGUGAUAAGCACUCCAUGGAGUCCUGUGACAAAAGAUACACAGGAGACUCACAUUCACAUCCUUUUGAGGCUAAGGGCUUGUCUCUACUAGAAAGACUUUGUUGCUCUGGGUGUCUCCAUGAGGUUAAAGAUGUCUUCUUGCCUAUGUCUGUAGAGCUGCAUCUAAAUCAGGGCCUUUACCAGUGUAACUGUGUCAGGAAAGGAUGCAGCUCUUAACUCACAUACUUGCACUAGUAAGGCUCUUUAAGUGUCAGGCAGCUUCUGAAGACAGAAGAAAGUAAGGGAAUUGCUCCUUUCAUUAUGAUAGCAUAGUAUCUCGGGGGCCUACUGCUGGCAUUUCGACCAUUAGCCUCUGCUGUUUGAGAACUGGUGUGCAGGAGCACAUCACCACUGAAUGAAGCAUUCGGACUCUUCUCUCCUGGGAAAACGGUUCAGAAACACAGCCAGUGAGAUGUAAUCAACUCGGUUAAGAUUUUCCUUUAUAGCCUUCUUUCCUACCUCUUGCUUUGUUUUUCCCUCCUAAAACUGCCUUUUGUGCCAGCCACACCAGACCCUGUUUUGUAUGAGAUACAUGAGGUCCCCAGCUGAUGGCUCCAUGACUACAUCCAAUUAUUUGUUAUUUAUGUCCUUCCCUUCCAUACCCAAUGAUUUCAUUAUCUUGCAGAAAAGCAUGCAAAGGGAAGAGGAUUCAUAUCUCUCUCUGUCCAAGAGGAGAAAUAUAUGACCUGUCCAGCAGCAAUUCCUCUCAAGUAUCGGCAACAUAGGGGUGAGAAGCCGUUUGCCCCGACAGUUGUACUGGUUCCGUUUUUUAUGUGACUGGACUGUGUGCCAGACCUGGGAAUAAAGCCACUUAAAAACAACAACACGGGACAGAAAAAAGGAGAGAGAGAGGCUGUAUUUCACUGGGAUCCAGUGCUGCCAUCAUAACUCCAUUGCACCAAAGCAGCCUUCUGCAGUGUAGGGAGAGGAGCUACAGACUGUCAAAGAGAGACUUCUGCAAGCCAAGAAAAGGCACAGUUAGGAGUGCAUCCUGGAAACAAACCUAGACUUGUUAUACCGCUUUGUAACAAAGGCUCUUAUGUUAAUCUUGUAAGAAAUUAUGUUAUUGCUUAUUUUCUUUGAGAAUAUCCUACUCAAACACAAGUGAGACAAAAUGGAAGCCCUGUCUCAGUAAUUUGUCCAUUGGUGUCCAGUAAGAAACAGGAGUGGGCAGGUUGUAGCUCAACAUUUCCAUCUUUGUUUAGCUGCUUUGCUCCCCAUAAUCUGCUCUUACUUAUUAUCCUGGAUGUCACCAUUUUGAUGGGACUUUGGUGAUUCUCAGGAGUUCUGCUGUGCACUAGACUUCAAUCUUUCUCUGUUGCCACUGUGAACACAGAAGCAAUAAAGGAGUGGAAGAGAAUAGAUUCAGUUCUGCUGUGCAGGAUCCGCCUGUCCACUAGCAGCCCACAUAUCAGAAGAAAUUGAAAUUGCCUGCUCUAAUGCAAUUCUACAGGCACAGAUUAAGGGAGAUAAAAAUACUCAUUCUGCACUGAGAAUAUGUCUGUUAGAGCAGAAGAACACAGGUAGGAAAGCAAGCUGCCUAGUGAUCUGGUUAUUUCAGUGACAGCAGGGGAGCUGGAUUGGUCUAGCUGCUGCUUAGGUGCAGUCUGGUAUUACAACUGAGUUUGUCUACAAGCUAGUUGCUGUCCUUGUUUCCCAUUUACAUUGCUUUCCUUAAAUUGCAUCUAGUGGCUGUGUGGCCACAGGGCAAAAUCUGCUCAUCAGAGCAGCAGAAAACUAACUAUGCCAUUCAAAUGAAUAGUUUUCAGCCAGAUCAGCCAGCUGAAUCAACUGACCCGGAAGUCACUCCAGCACUGGAUUCAGCGCAAGGGAGAAGGAUGUGGGACACAGCUGGAAGCAGUAGUGGACUGAGAUCACCACUAUUUGGCAUUAGCUUGCAGCUCUAACUGCAAGGAUGACCCGCUCCCAUCCUCCCUUCCCCGCUCCCAGCAGCACAUUACUGCCACUUCCAGUGCUUGCUUGACCUCAGGGAGCUAGGCCUGCUCUCUAAGUAAGCAGCAAACUAACCCAGCACCUGAGAAAUAGACAGUAUUCUGCCUGCUUAAUUAGGUCAAGGAGGGAGGUGGGAUGAGUCUAAGCCCUGGCACAAGGAUGCUGAUGAGCUUGUGUGGUGUCUGUGACUGGGAGGAGGCCAGGGUGGUUCCUUCUGACAGCAGCCAAUUCGACCCAAAGAAGGAAAAUAAGCAGCAUAAAAAAAGAGAGCCACAGAUGAGCAAAUGGGAACUGGCUGCACACUCUCCACUGAAAAGUGUUCACCUCAUCAUUAGGUGAGGAAGGACAGGCUUAAUGCACACUUUGGAAAGGUAUGUUACCUGUCUGGUUGCUGGAUGGAAGGGAGCGAUGUGAAUAGCACCACUUAGUGCAUGCAUGGCUCUGCUCUUCCCAAGACGCAGGCAGGAGGCUCAGCAAACAGUUUUGGAAAGAAAUCACCUUUCUGCUUAUUACUCCUUCCCAUGGGGUGCCUGGAAGGCCCAAAGGCAGCUAUAGCUCAUUUAAAAAUCAAGCCAAAAGGAAAGAACACAGGAGGGGAGAAGCUGUAUGACAGCAAACCAUGGAGGAGGAGGAUGGCUCUGGAACACCAGCAGAUCUCAGGGCAGGGUCAUGCUGGCCCUGCGGGGCCCCUUGGGAACACGUGCUAGUGGGGUUUAGACCCUGAACCAGAGGGCAGUGCCCUUCUGGAGGUGCUUCGUGAGUGUAAGUUGUUAUUCUGGCUGUUGACUCAGUUUUUCUCUGGGCAGAUGGCCAACAGUGCAAUCACUAAUUGCACUGAUUUCCAUGUCCUCUCUUCUGUAAAAUCAGUGUAUUAGAGGAGCUGGUUAUAUUCAGGAAGUGCUUAAAUUCCCAGCCAUAUCUUGCUUAGCAAGAACUUCGUGAUAACAGCGCUGUACUGCUCUCAGCUAGUGUGCCUGUAAAGAGCAUGAUUGCUUACAGAGCUGUACUGUUGUAGAUGCAAUUCCAUCAGCAUAAGAUAUAUCAAACCGGUAUAAUUAUUUUAUUGGACUAGAUUGUUCUUUUAUGAUCACCUGUAUCUGUUACAACUGCAUCCAUCCUAAGGAACAUUUGCUCUCUGUCAAAAUGAGAAUAUAAUGGGAAGAUAGCCUUUCACACGUGUAUUUUUCCUUAUGGGUCUCUCUAGCACUCCGUCAAUAAAGCUGUUUUUCAGCAGUGUUUGCUGACACUGUGAAAAAGGCAUUGCCAGACUCUACAUCUGAUUAACUGUUAUCCUGCAGCUCAUGUCAUAAUUUAAAGAAGUCAGCAGGAACGUCACCAUAAAUUACUAUAUAAAUCCAAGGCAGCAAGCAGCACAGUGAACUGUGUUACCUUUGAAGUAAAGACAGGUAUUGUGCACCCCGCCGUCUAGAGGUCCCAGAAGGGAUCCAACGUGUCUUAAAGGUUGCAGCUGUACUGCAGUCAUUCAGUUGUCCAACAGGAUGUGAAACACACAGCAGUGUUUGUUCCUGCGUGCGAGGCAAGAUUAGGCUGCGCUUUAGAGGAGACCUCUGGAAGGAAAAAUAGAACAGUACUGUGGUUAUUUUCGGGCAGCAACAAAAACGAUCCGCUGGUUUCUAGUAAAAAACUUCUAUGUAUUUCUUUCUAUCUCUGAGUUCCUGCUGAUUUCAUUAUUUCUUAGAAAAACCGAAACUGAAAUCUGGAGUUGACUGUAGUGGAGGUCUUGAAGAAACAAACUGAAAGUGCUCUCUUGCUUAACUGGAAAGUAGAAGUGUAAAAUCUUGAGUGGGCUUAUUUUUCUCCGUGGACUUUAUUCAACAUUUGAGUAAAUGAGAACUAAUGAGAAAGGACACAUUGAAGUGACUCACCAGGACUUUCACUCAAUUAAUCCUGUGGUGCCAUUACACAUUAUUGUGCCGACUCUGCUGAUCCCAGUAGGACCAAAACCAAUUUACUGCACACGUAUGAACGCCUGAAGUGAAAUCUUUGAGUUAAAAGCGUUUGGAACAUCUAAAGAGUUCCUGAGAAGAUCCUCUGAUUCGUGCACUUGCGGUAUGGUCACACUGGGCUUCUCCAGGAAAAGCUAGAAGCCCCUAUGAAAAGCAGCUUUGGUGACGGAAGAGGUUGAGUGAUCACCAAAGUGGGCAAUACCGGCAGAUGCACCGUAGCUCCUUCCAUUAACCUGAGUGCCUUCGCAAAGGUGCACAUAGCUCUCCCUACCAACCAGGCAGUCCGCUUUUCUCAUUCCCUGCUAUAAGCCAAAAGGUGCAGUCCUGAGCUACCGGAGCUCUGGGCUGGUAUGACAGCAGUAGGCCUGGCAACAGUGUUCACACCUGUUUUAUUCAACGUAGCCAUUCCUGCCGAGCUGCUAACAGUACUUUCACAGCAGGUGAGCCCAUACUGCAGCAGCCGUAGCAGCUCAGAGGUGCUCAUUUGAGAUAAUCAAAUAUUUAGCAGCCCUUGCUCUAUCAAACAGCACGUGGUCGCUGCCCUGCGCCAGGGGGCACCUCGAGGCACAGCCCCGGCUGCUGGGAGCACACGUGUUUCACCCACCGUGGGAGGAAGGAUCCCAGGAAGAGCAGAAUGGUUUGUUUAAGUCAUUCCGGUGCUCCAUAACUUUUUAAUGGUUCACUGUGCGCUUGCAGAUGGCUGAUAUUUUUCGCUGUUAAACAUUCACCAGCUUGAAUUAAAUAAUUGAUUUAUUCUACAUAAAGUUUCUAGGAGCGUGUUUCCUAGUGGAGGCCACUGUUGCCAGACUAAACUGCCACUGUGGGUCUUGAAUGUAAUCUCUCCUUGCUUUAUGUAACCAGCUGUUACAAGAAAUAAGUAAUUCACUGGCUCAACUUAGCAUCGUCCUCUUAUCCACAACUGGUUUUCUCAAGGAUAUAAAUUAUUGGGAACUCUUUGUCAUGGUCAUUCAGUAAAGUCUCCCUUCCUCAUUUAUAGGACUCACAAGCAAUUUGUUGAAGGCGUUAGAGGUCUGAGGUGGCAAUCGCACCAGCUGCGUGCCAGGGAACAGCCAGACCUGUGGGAGCAGGGAGGGGGUGUUCCAUGCCUGGGGAUGCCUGGACAACAUGCAGCUCCAGGACCCCAAAGCAGCGUGGAGCAGAGGAGGGUGGAUGUAGCGGGUCCAUUCCACGCUCACCAGACAGCUGUGCAGAGAGCUGCUGAGGGUAAACCUGUGCUGCCUGGUGGCUCUGAACAGCCGCACACCAGGCUGCAGAGCUGCAGCAGAGCACGCCGGCCGUAGCCGUGCCUCACUCGGAUGCUACACUGACAGAUGUCUUGCUCUCCAGCUGGGACCUCUCCAGCAGACAACGCUGCACGUUGUGGAGAAACCUGCUCUGCUGGCACGCCUGUUGCAGGGUAUAGCAGGGCUGGCAAAGCAGGGCUGGCACAGGAAGAGGUGAAUAGUCACACGUUUACUAGCAGCGUCAAACAUUUGCUACAGGAGAGAUCCUGUUAUGAGACAAAUCAGUUUUCUGUCAUCAUUCUCCAAAUGAGCUUGUCAAGCAGGAGGCUCACGGAGCAUCUUGGAUUUAGCUUGGCCUCCAGACAUGUGGGGAAGCUGAGGGCUGUCUGACUGCAGGCAGCUUCUGCCAUGAAGCAGAAACGCCUCUGGGUUUGCUGGUAUGUAAGAUGAAAAUAUUUCCUGCCAUUUGAGAGAAACAUAGCAAACCCCAUAGGGAUCAGUAAGAAUGUCGGGUUCUUUAAGGAUGUAUUUUAGGAUAAAGAAUUCAACAUUUCUUGAAGAGGGAUUAAGCUCGCUAUGUAUUAAACAGCAGAAUUACUACAAAUACAUAUGUACACGUAUGCGUGUAUCUAUGAAGGAUGGCCUCUGCAAACCGAGCAGGAAACGUGCCAGAUGCAAACUUUGAACACAGACCGAACGUAAUCUUGUAGAUGAGCUAACGGAUCUUGAUGUGAGGCCAGAUCUGAGGCUGAAAUGCCGCCUGCAAAGCAGGGUGAGGGCGUUCACGCACGAGGAGAUGGCGUUGUCCGCGCUGCCGUCAGCUCGGUGCGCGGCGUGGCGCCGGACAGGCGGAGCUGUGGAGAGCUCCGAAGGGGACGGUGGGCCCAUGUUCUGUAGGCUUGGGAUAAAGCGAAGAGUAGCGCUGUGUCUGUGAUCCUCAGCCAAAACCCAAACAAACAGAAGCGAGUGAAGAAGCUACAAAGGAUUUCUAAGUGGCUGUGAAGUGGCUUUUGAAGCUUGGGUUAACCGGCACCUGAGCCAGACUGUGCCCCUCUCCGGGCGCGUUUGUAGUAAACAGGGCCGCGAGUGGCAUUCGCUCUUUCAAGAAGUACUGACUGGAAGUGAAGUGCUUUAAAUGCAGCUUUCACAUCUCCUCUGCCUUUCAUCCAAAGGCUUCAAAGCACGUCCUAAGCGUGGUUUAACAAUCAGCCCUGCCGAGAGAUCAGCGAGCGGACCGGGAGGUGCGCCGAAGGGAAGAGCGGCUCCCGGGCAGCGCUGGGGACGGACGUGUCGGUUACUGCGUUACUGCGAACGCUGCCUGGCGGUCACCGGGGCGGCAGCUCACAGCAGCUAGAGCUCUGGAGAAAUAACGGCCUGGCACGUUUCUUGUGCCGGCUCCGAGGCGCGUUUCCUGAGGGGAGAGAGACAGAGAGAGAGAGAGAAGCCAACUGCCGCCCUCCCGCCGCCCGCGAGCCGGAGCCAAAGCCCGCGCUGCCCGACGCGGCCGCCCGCGAGGAGGCGGGGCU